GUACUUACCUGGACGGGGUCAACUCGUGAUCAAUAAGACUAGUGGUUUAGGCUAGUGACUUCCAUUGCACAUAACGUUAGGGUGCUACGCCUAAGGUCUUUUAUAGAUCCUGCGUCAUUAUUUGUGGCAGAGGGGGCUUGCGUUCGCGCAGCCCCUAC
rfam:Arabis alpina cultivar Pajares chromosome 2, whole genome shotgun sequence.